CAGGCCUAACACAUGCAAGUCGAGGGGCAGCGGGAAGUUUGCUUGCAAGCUUCGCCGGCGACCGGCGCACGGGUGAGUAACGCGUAUCCAACCUGCCCCACGGUCGGGGACAGCCCGGCGAAAGUCGGAUUAACCCCCGAUGGUCCCGCAAGACGGCAUCAGAUUGCGGGUAAAGGCUCGUCCGCCGUGGGAUGGGGAUGCGUAGGAUUAGGCAGCAGGCGGGGUGACGGCCCACCUGGCCGGCGAUCCUUAGGGGUUCUGAGAGGAAGGUCCCCCACACUGGUACUGAGACACGGACCAGACUCCUACGGGAGGCAGCAGUGAGGAAUAUUGGUCAAUGGGCGGAAGCCUGAACCAGCCAAGUAGCGUGCAGGAAGACGGCCCUACGGGUUGUAAACUGCUUUUAUGCGGGGAUAAAGUGCGCCACGUGUGGCGUUUUGCAGGUACCGCAUGAAUAAGGACCGGCUAAUUCCGUGCCAGCAGCCGCGGUAAUACGGAAGGUCCGGGCGUUAUCCGGAUUUAUUGGGUUUAAAGGGAGCGCAGGCGGCUGUUUAAGCGUGCCGCGAAAUGCCGUGGCUCAACCAUGGCACUGCGGCGCGAACUGGGCGACUUGAGUCGGCGGAAGGUGCGCGGAAUUCGUGGUGUAGCGGUGAAAUGCUUAGAUAUCACGAGGAACUCCGAUUGCGAAGGCAGCGCGCCGCAGCUGUACUGACGCUCAUGCUCGAAGGCGCGGGUAUCGAACAGGAUUAGAUACCCUGGUAGUCCGCACGGUAAACGAUGGAUGCCCGCUGUUCGCGAUAUACAGUGAGCGGCCAAGAGAAAUCGUUAAGCAUCCCACCUGGGGAGUACGCCGGCAACGGUGAAACUCAAAGGAAUUGACGGGGGCCCGCACAAGCGGAGGAACAUGUGGUUUAAUUCGAUGAUACGCGAGGAACCUUACCCGGGCUUGAACUGCAGGAGAAGGAUACAGAGAUGUUGACGCCCUUCGGGGCUCCUGUGGAGGUGCUGCAUGGUUGUCGUCAGCUCGUGCCGUGAGGUGUCGGCUUAAGUGCCAUAACGAGCGCAACCCUUUUCGUCAGUUGCCAUCAGGUGAUGCUGGGCACUCUGGCGACACUGCCACCGUAAGGUGUGAGGAAGGUGGGGAUGACGUCAAAUCAGCACGGCCCUUACGUCCGGGGCUACACACGUGUUACAAUGGGGCAUACAGAAGGCCGGUCGCCCGCAAGAGCGAUCCAAUCUAAAAAGUGUCCCUCAGUUCGGAUUGGGGUCUGCAACCCGACCCCAUGAAGCUGGAUUCGCUAGUAAUCGCGCAUCAGCCAUGGCGCGGUGAAUACGUUCCCGG
rnacentral:rRNA from 1 species